rnacentral:rRNA from 1 species
AAGGACGCAGCGAAAUGCGAUAAGUAAUGUGAAUUGCAGAAUUCAGUGAAUCAUCGAAUCUUUGAACGCACAUUGCGCCCCUUGGUAUUCCGGGGGGCAUGCCUGUUCGAGCGUCAUUAUAACCCCUCAAGCUCAGCUUGGUGUUGGGGCCUGCCUCUGGGCAGCCCUUAAAAUCAGUGGCGGUGCCAUCUGGCUCUAAGCGUAGUAACUUCUCUCGCUAUAGGGUCCCGGUGGAUGCUGGCCAACAACCCCAAUUUUUCUAUGGUUGACCUCGGAUCAGGUAGGGAUACCCGCUGAACUUAA